AAGAUAAACUAAUAUUAAGUUGCACAUACCAACUGUCCCUAGAGCAAGUGGCAAAGAGUUUGGUGGUUGGUACCCGAGAUUCAAGUUCGAAUUUUAAUUGAUUCAUAUUUUCAGCUAAGUUUAUUUUUAAAUAAAAUAAACGAAGCAGGAAGCGUGCUACCUAUCUCUCAAAAAAUAAAAAAAGGUUAAACCUUUUGUUUUUUCACCUUUCCAUUUAUAUUAUCCACCUACUCAACAAUAUAAUAUUUUUACUUUUAUAUUUCGUUACAACUUGCUGUUAAAUAAAACAAUAAAUUUCAUAAUAUU
rnacentral:lncRNA from 1 species